rnacentral:rRNA from 1 species
UGGGGAAUAUUGGACAAUGGGCGAAAGCCUGAUCCAGCCAUGCCGCGUGAGUGAUGAAGGCCCUAGGGUUGUAAAGCUCUUUUGUGCGGGAAGAUAAUGACGGUACCGCAAGAAUAAGCCCCGGCUAACUUCGUGCCAGCAGCCGCGGUAAUACGAAGGGGGCUAGCGUUGCUCGGAAUCACUGGGCGUAAAGGGUGCGUAGGCGGGUUUUUAAGUCAGAGGUGAAAUCCUGGAGCUCAACUCCAGAACUGCCUUUGAUACUGAGAAUCUUGAGUAUGGGAGAGGUGAGUGGAACUGCGAGUGUAGAGGUGAAAUUCGUAGAUAUUCGCAAGAACACCAGUGGCGAAGGCGGCUCACUGGCCCAUAACUGACGCUGAGGCACGAAAGCGUGGGGAGCAAACAGG